GACGUAGGGCGCAAGCGUUGUCCGGAUUUAUUGGGCGUAAAGAGCUCGUAGGCGGCCUGUCGCGUCGACUGUGAAAACCCGCAGCUUAACUGCGGGACUGCAGUCGAUACGGGCAGGCUAGAGUUCGGUAGGGGAGACUGGAAUUCCUGGUGUAGCGGUGAAAUGCGCAGAUAUCAGGAGGAACACCGGUGGCGAAGGCGGGUCUCUGGGCCGAUACUGACACUGAGGAGCGAAAGCGUGGGGAGCGAACAGG
rnacentral:rRNA from 1 species